AGCGGAAUGGGGAAGCGGUAUCCCGUCAGGCUCAUAACCUGAAGAUCGCCAGUUCGAUCCUGGCUUCCGCAA
rnacentral:tRNA from 1 species